rnacentral:misc_RNA from 1 species
GCGGAACCGAAUAGUGCUCUUUCUGUUUUCCUGGUUGCAAGUGUUCUAGAGACCAAGCAUAGGCGACUUAUGAAAGAGGCGAAAGGCCUUGAUGAUGUUGUAGAGAUCUUGGGCGAAAUAUCUGGGAAUUUGGAUGCAAGAAAAGCAUUAGAUGAGGCAUUGAAGGUUCAUAAGAAGUACUUGAAACAGGCUAAAAAAUCAUAGUUGGAGUUGCUUAGUGGUGGUCACUGCAGCAAGCAUCUCCUGUGGUUAAAGUUUUGUUUUCAUUUUCUUUUUUCAAUUAUUAAUUUCAAUUUUUGAACUCUAUUUUUGUGAUUUUAUCUUCUAUUUUUAGUCCUUUUUCUUUUUUCUUUAAGGUGUAAUUCCUCUUAUAAAUUCAUGAGUCAUGUCUGUCUUCUUUCUAUUGGUAGCUGGUCUACAGCUCUAUAAGAAAGAGGAACAUUUAUAUAAGUUUAGG